rnacentral:rRNA from 1 species
UACGUAGGGUGCGAGCGUUGUCCGGAAUUAUUGGGCGUAAAGGGCUCGUAGGCGGUUUGUCGCGUCGGGCGUGAAAUCCACUGGCUUAACUGGUGGCUUGCUUUCGAUACGGGCAGACUGGAGGUAUGCAGGGGAGAAUGGAAUUCCUGGUGUAGCGGUGAAAUGCGCAGAUAUCAGGAAGAACACCCGUGGCUAAGGCGGUUCUCUAGUACGGUACUGACGCUGAGACGCGAAAGCGUGGGGAGCGAACAGG